UACGGGGGGAGCAAGCGUUGUUCGGAUUUACUGGGCGUAAAGGGCGCGUAGGCGGUCGUGACAAGUCACUUGUGAAAUCUCCGGGCUUAACUCGGAACGGUCAAGUGAUACUGUCGGACUAGAGUACAGAAGGGGCAACUGGAAUUCUCGGUGUAGCGGCGAAAUGCGUGGAUAUCGAGAGGAACACCUGCGGCGAAGGCGGGUUGCUGGGCUGAUACUGACGCUGAGGCGCGAAAGCCAGGGGAGCGAACGGG
rnacentral:rRNA from 1 species